UUACGGCCACAUCACGUUGAAACACCGGUUCCCGUAAUAUGACCGAAGUUAAGCAACGUAGAUCCUGGUCAGUACCUAGAUGCGUGACCGCUUGAGAAUACUAGGUAUUGUAAG